AGUGAACGCUGGCGGUAGGCCUAACACAUGCAAGUCGAACGGCAGCACAGUAAGAGCUUGCUCUUACGGGUGGCGAGUGGCGGACGGGUGAGGAAUAUAUCGGAAUCUACUCUUUCGUGGGGGAUAACGUAGGGAAACUUACGCUAAUACCGCAUACGACCUACGGGUGAAAGCAGGGGAUCUUCGGACCUUGCGCGAUUGAAUGAGCCGAUGUCGGAUUAGCUAGUUGGCGGGGUAAAGGCCCACCAAGGCGACGAUCAGUAGCUGGUCUGAGAGGAUGGUCAGCCACACUGGAACUGAGACACGGUCCAGACUCCUGCGGGAGGCAGCAGUGGGGAAUAUUGGACAAUGGGCGCGAGCCUGAUCCAGCCAUACCGCGUGGGUGAAGAAGGCCUUCGGGUUGUGAAGCCCUUUUGUUGGGAGAGAAAAGCAGCAGGUUAAUACCCCGCUGUUCUGACGGUACCCAAAGAAUAAGCACCGGCUAACUUCGUG
rnacentral:rRNA from 1 species